AAGAGUUGCAAGACUCCCCUAAACCAUCGUGAACCAUACCUCUGAACAGUUGCUUCGGCGGGCCGGCCCUCCCCCGGGAGGCGCCGCCCAGGGCCCGCCGGAGGCACCCAAACCAUUGUCUUUACGGGCCUCUCUGAGUUACACUUAAUAAGUCA
rnacentral:misc_RNA from 1 species